CGAGACCUCAGGUCAGGCGGGGCUACCCGCUGAAUUUAAGCAUAUCAAUAAGCGGAGGAAAAGAAACUAACAAGGAUUCCCUUAG
rnacentral:rRNA from 1 species